rnacentral:rRNA from 1 species
CCUACGGGUGGCAGCAGUGGGGGAUAUUGGUCAAUGGGCGAAACCCUGAACCAGCAACGCCGCGUGAGGGAAGACGGCCUUCGGGUUGUAAACCUAAGUGAUCAGGGAUGAAACAAAUUACAGUACCUGAAAAGCAAGCUCCGGCUAACUUCGUCCAAGCAGCCGCGGUAACACGUAGAGAGCAAGCGUCGUCCGGAUUUACUGGGUGUAAAGGGUGUUUAGGGGGGAACAUAAGUCAGGCGUGAAAUACCGGGGCUCAACUCCGGGGCUGCGCUUGAAACUGUGUUUCUGGAGUGAAGUAGAGGCGGGCGGAAUGCCUGGUGUAGCGGUGGAAUGCGUAGAUAUUAGGAGGAACACCGGUGGCGAAGGCGGCCUGCUGGGCUGUAACUGACGCUGAUGCACGAAAGCAUGGGGAGCAAACAGGAUUAGAUACCCGGGUAGUC